UCUCUCCUGCUCCCAUGUGAAGAAGGUUCUUGCUUCCCAUUCGCCUUCUGCCAUGAUUGUAAGUUUCCUGAGGCCUUCACAGCCAUGUGGAACUAAGUCAAUUAAACCUCUUUCCUUUAUAAAUUACCCAGUCUCAGGCAGUUCUUUACAACAGUGUGA